AUUUAAGAUAAACGUAACUCAAGCCAGGUGUUUUUGGUCAGAACAAGCAGUUUGUAAACUAUGCGCUGUUAUGAUAAAUCACAUUGGAUAAAGAGAAGCAAAUAAAAAUGAUGAAUACAAAAACAAUCUUAACCGUACAAGACAAGUAUAGCUUGAGUUGGGCUGUCACAAGUUUAAUUCAUAACAGUUACAUUGCCUCACCCCUGCCAUCAAACCCUUCAGUGGCUUCAAGUGUAGGCAUAGCCUCUACAGGUACUGCAGCAGAGGGAGAGCAGAGUCAGGAGGGUCUUGGAAGAAGUUCAGAAAAGAUCCAAAUAGGCAGUCUGAACAGUCUUACUUGUUUGCAGGUGGAGUAAUGCACGAAUGGAUAAAAAAGAGUGAGAGGUUAUCAGCUGUUGAGGAGCAAAUGGAGAUCCGUGUCCAGGGGAGUGAGGCUAUUGCGAGUGUGAAAGGUUGUCCAGGAAGUAACUAAGAAGACAUGAACAGAGAGGUGGUGAUCCUCAGAGGAGCGAUGAAGUAGAGCAGCCAGCACUCCAAGUAGAGCAGGCACUGUGGAAAAAUAGUUGUGACUCAACCAGACCAUUACAAAGUAUGGCCUGGAGGAUUUUCAUCUCAAGGUGCAAGAACAUUCUUAAUGACUGUACACGGCAGCUGCUGAUGGACGAUGUUGGGCCAGAUGUGCUACAGUUAGCGUUAAGGAGGUUGGAGACAAUGCAGAGAAGCCUUCGGUGGGCAAGAGGAAGACUGAUCAAUGUAACUGCAGCAGAUCAACUUCUGCGUGACUUGGCUGAAUUGAUUCAGGAGGUCGAACUGUCUACUCAGGAUGGCCAACAAGGCUGUUUUGGAUACCAGGCACCAGUGGUUUUCAACAGAGGUAGAGGAAGAUCCCUUUACCGUAUCACUCGGGAACAGCUUUCAUUCCUGAAGUCAUGUGGAUUCACUGCACCUCAGAUGGCUGAUAUUUUGAAUGUUUCACUUCGUACAAUUCGAAGACGUCUGUGACAGUAUCAUUUCACCCGUGAAUCAAAGUAUGCGGAACUGACUGACAGUGCCUUGGAUGAACAUGUGCAGGACAUUGUUGCUGGCAAUGAACAAAUUGGUCCUGAGGCUGUCAGAGCCUCCCUGCAAGUACGUGGACUACGUGUACAGCGAAGGAGGGUUUGAGCAAGCAUGUUACGGAUGAAUCCUGGAGCAGCUGCCCUUAGAGCAGUUUUGCGGAGACCAGAACGAAGAACAUAUCAGGUUGCAGGUCCAAACUCAUUGUGGCACAUUGAUGGAAAUCACAAGCUGAUAAGGUGGAGGAUAGUCAUUCAUGGGGCUAUUGAUGGAUACAGUCGUCUUGUGGUCUUCCUUCAUGCCUCAAACAACAACCGUACCAGUACCGUUUUAUCAAGUUUCAUCAGAGCCGUGGUAUCCUAUGGUGUACCCUCGAGGGUCCGGACAGACAGAGGAGGGGAAAACAAUGCUGUCUGCCUGAUGAUGAACAUUUUCAGAGGCUUUGAUCGUGGAAGUGCCCUAAGAGGAAGGAGUACCCAUAAUCAGAGAAUUGAGAGGCUCUGGGGUGAUCUGUGGUGAGGAAUGCCCAAUGUCUACUGUGAUUUAUUUCACCACCUGGAGGAGGAAGGCAUCAUUGACAUUGACAAUGAAAUGCACCUUUGGGCUCUCCAUUACAUCUAUCUCCCAAGGAUCAACAGAGAUUUGAAAGACUUCACUCAACAGUGGAACAAUCAUGGCUUGCGGACAGAGAGACACUUGAGCCCAUUACAGAUUUUGUCCGAGGCAGCCUCCAGCAACAGGGCCGAGCCUCAACUGCCAUGCAGGACAUCUUUCAGACUAGAGCAGCUGCUGCUGCUGCUGCUGGGACUAUUGGUGGGACAGCUGAUGGUAGUGUGACAGCCACUGAGAGUGAGAUGACUGCUGCUCAGGGCUUAAGUACGGACUCUGGUGGUGGUGGUGCUCAUGGUACAGAUGAGCUGGGACUGCUAGUCGACUGGCCUGAGAGGAUUAAUGUGCCAGACAUUGAAUUGACUCUGGACGGACCGAUGAUGGAGCAAGUGGUAGAACUAUUUAAUCCACUAACUGGCACCAGAGGGAGUCAUGGUAUUGAACUCAUCUCUGGCUUAAUAUACUUUCUGGACUCCACAUAUCACUGACACAGUUCAAUUAAUGACUGAAACAUAAUAGCAGCAAGUGGAAAGACUUCAAAA